rnacentral:rRNA from 1 species
UACGGAGGGUGCAAGCGUUAUCCGGAUUCACUGGGUUUAAAGGGUGCGUAGGUGGGUUGGUAAGUCAGUGGUGAAAUCUCCGAGCUUAACUUGGAAACUGCCAUUGAUACUAUCAGUCUUGAAUACCGUGGAGGUCAGCGGAAUAUGUCAUGUAGCGGUGAAAUGCUUAGAUAUGACAUAGAACACCGAUAGCGAAGGCAGCUUACUACAGGAUGAUUGACGCUGAGGCACGAAAGCGUGGGGAGCAAACAGG